rnacentral:misc_RNA from 1 species
CUUUUUAAUAUUUCAUUAAUUUUUAGAUUUUCUUUGAAUGUGUUCAAAUGUAUAUGAAUCUCUUUUCCUUUUUAUGAUAUAUGGAAGUUAAUCAACUUAUGUCAGUAAAGUAUGAACAGGCCAGUCAAGUGCUUUUAGACGUUUCUGCUUGAUAUUUAAAAACUGUAAUAUUUAUUGAUACAUUUUUUUUUUCUGUAUGACAUUUUCUCAGGAGUAAGGAAAUAAGAAGCAUGCAUUUGAUGUAAUGUAAAGGAAUAUAUGUGUGUAAUACUGUUUAUUUUGAAUUUACAGACAAUUAAGUCUUUAUUUUAAAUAGUGCUAAUUAGGAAAUGUAUGGUAACAUCCCUAUACAUGUGUGUUAUUGUUAUGAUGCUAAGAGUGUAUCUACAUGUAUUUCAUACAGGUGUAAAUCCUUCAUAUGUUAUGCAUUGGUCAAUAAAAGGUGGAGUGACAUUUAUAAAUACC